CGGAGGGUGCAAGCGUUAUCCGGAUUUAUGGGUUUAAAGGGUGCGUAGGCGGUAUUUUAAGUCAGUGGUGAAAUGUUGCAGCUUAACUGUAGAAUUGCCAUUGAAACUGAAGUACUUGAGUUAUCUUGAGGUAGGCGGAAUGUGUAGUGUAGCGGUGAAAUGCUUAGAUAUUACACAGAACACCGAUUGCGAAGGCAGCUUACUAAGGAUAAACUGACGCUCAGGCACGAAAGCGUGGGGAUCGAACAGGAUUAGAUACCCUGGUAGUCCACGCCGUAAACGAUGAUAACUCGCUGUUGGCGAUACACAGUCAGCGGCUUAGCGAAAGCGUUAAGUUAUCCACCGGGGGAGUACGCCCGCAAGGGUG
rnacentral:rRNA from 1 species